rnacentral:rRNA from 1 species
UACGGGGGGGGCAAGCGUUGUUCGGAAUUACUGGGCGUAAAGGGCUCGUAGGUGGUCAACUAAGUCGGACGUGAAAUCCCUCGGCUUAACCGGGGAACUGCGUCCGAUACUGGAUGACUUGAGUUCGGGAGAGGGAUGCGGAAUUCCAGGUGUAGCGGUGAAAUGCGUAGAGAUCGGGAGGAACACCAGUGGCGAAGGCGGCUACCUGGACCAGCACUGACACUGAGGCACGAAAGCGUGGGGAGCAAACAGG